UACGUAGGGGGCUAGCGUUGUCCGGAAUUAUUGGGCGUAAAGCGCGCGCAGGUGGUUCCUUAAGUCUGAUGUGAAAGCCCACGGCUCAACCGUGGAGGGUCAUUGGAAACUGGGGAACUUGAGUGCAGAAGAGGAAAGUGGAAUUCCACGUGUAGCGGUGAAAUGCGUAGAGAUGUGGAGGAACACCAGUGGCGAAGGCGACGUUUCUGGUCGUGUAACUGACACUGAGGCGCGAAAGCGUGGGGGAGCGA
rnacentral:rRNA from 1 species